rnacentral:rRNA from 1 species
GACGAAGGGGGCUAGCGUUGUUCGGAAUUACUGGGCGUAAAGCGCGUGUAGGCGGUUGCCCAAGUCGGGUGUGAAAGCCUUGAGCUCAACUCAAGAAAUGCACUCGGUACUGGGUGACUAGAGGACCGGAGAGGAUAGUGGAAUUCCCAGUGUAGUGGUGAAAUACGUAGAGAUUGGGAAGAACACCAGUGGGCGAAGGCGGCUAUCUGGACGGAUACUGACGCUGAGGCGCGAAAGCGUGGGGAUCAAACAGG